rnacentral:siRNA from 1 species
UCACUACUCAGACAUCAUAGCAGA